CCAGCCCAGGGGUGAAGCCAAGCCAAACCUGGCACGCACGCCCCCCUCCCCCACCCUCUCCAGACAUAGGCUUUAGGAGAGGGUGUGUGAUCCAGAUCUGGCUGACUUGAAUGUUGGCCUGGGAGGUGAUGUUUGGAGCUGUGGCAGACUUCUUGCUACCCUGAGGCAGUACACUAAUGACAAAAAGCCAACAGCCAAGUAUGGUAAAGAGGAGCUAGUAAAAGACCCUGGGUCUUUGCUGAUGUCUCUGAGCAUCUGACCAAGCUGCAACCAUCUUCCUCCAGCCAGCAGAUUAUGUGGGGACAUCUCAUGUCUCAGUUGUUUGGGUGACUGUUUUUCAGUUUUCUGAUACCUGCUGCCCAACCACCUUAACCAAUGGAGGUGCCUCCUCUGUGCCCCAUGCGCACCUGCUGGAGCCCCCGCCACACAGGGUCAUCACCUGCCACCCCUUCAGACCUGAGAACUCCAGAAGUAAGGGUGGUGUCUUGGAGGUCUUUGUAGCUCCCAAGUGUCACAUGGGUCAUGAGGCACAGCGAUUACCAUAGCAUAAAUAAUAUGAAGGAAGGGAAGAAGGAAAGAACAGUUAAUAAAUAAAUGAUCAUAGUGAAGGUGGAGUUGCUUUGCAAACUGUGAAGUGCUGGGCCCCAAUGCCAGUGAGGUGCUGGCCUGCGGAUGCCUGUGGGGGAUGGGAAGCUGCAGAGUGGAGAACCAAGAUCAGAGAAGAUUCCUCAGGGGGAAUGACACCGUGUCUUCCUCCCAGACACCCCCUGCCUCUCCACCCUGCUGUGCAGACCACAAAUACCAGGUUUCCCAGGGACGCUGGAUUAAAGGAUCAUUUUAAAUGAAUUCUGCCAUCAGGGUAAGAGAUCUGCUCCACCCCCCAAGAUGCCUUCCGCUGACAGCUGGCUUCAGGAGAUCUGACAGAAUUCAUUUUUCCAAGCAGACAAGAGGGAUCUCGGUAUUAAACAAAACACCU